CUUAAGCAGUCUGCCUUAGGAUGCUUAAGGCAUGACUCAGAUUAUGCUCCUGUGUGUUUGUGAAAUUGAGGAACAGACUCCGCUGUGGGGGGAGCAGUUCACCCAGGGCUGCAGGCUGAGCUGGGCUGAGCAAGAUAAGACCAGUCCGACAGGAAGACCCACGGACAACCCUGCGCCCCAGCACUGGCCUCUGACCUUGCCAGCUACCAUUCCAGCUCCACCCUUCUCCGUGUUCCUUUCCUGAAUGUGUCUUUUGUCCCUUGGAAGAGAGUCCCUAACUUAUACCCUCUGAAACUCUGCUGUUGAGACCUCCACAAACAAAUGUACACAGAGCUGCUCAUGUUGUCAGCCACUCAGAGACACUGUGACAUGGCACAUGCCACACGUAAUGCACACACACGCACACCCAUGCCCAUGCACAGGGACUUGCACUGAAAUAUUGCCAUCGCCAGACCCACAAACACAUCCUGACACACACUUCUUGUUCAACAUUCCAAGAAUCUUUACCA
rnacentral:lncRNA from 10 species